GCGGACGUGGCCUAGUGGUCAUGGCGCUGCGUUGUGGGACAACUGCCGCAGAGAUCCCCGGUUCGACUCCGGGCGUCCGCA